UGCCGUUUUAUUGCCUGAGGUAAAUCGGAAAGUGGCGCUUGUCUCGUUGGAUGUGUUCUCCCACCGCCGAUGGAGGCGCCCCGAGACAUCCGGCCCGUUUGUUUGUACCGUUUCGAACCAGUCUCGUCGGUUGUAGCAUGGGGAGAGGUGUAGCUACCAAUGUCGACGGUAUAGUGCUUGCAUCUCUCUUCCUUACCCACUGCUAUUCCGUUCUAGCCAUAUUGGACAAGAAAGGUGGUUACGUCGAAGAUGAGCCGCGUAGAAACUACCGAGUCGAGGACUUCUUCUGGAGCGGUUCCGGCGACGGACAGGGCUCUGGCGACGGCCACCCAGAGGCGACAUGGGCGACGACAACGAUAUUCAGAACGACAACAAUCCUCACGACGAUAUACCCGACCCCGGUAUUUUCCAGUACCUGCCAAGGGGACCAGUGUUACAUUUCUCCGACGCCGACGUUAAAACUGGAGCCGUCGACUUCAGUCGCUCCGACGUGGCCACCGACGCAACCUCCGUACUACGACGUGCCCGACCAGAGAUACUGGCUGGUUACUGUCAUCGAAGCGAACACAACAGCCCUCGACUUGUCGCCGGCCGUAUUCGAACAGCGGUUAGCUCAACUUUAUCGAACUGCUUUCCACAGGCAACAAGAAAGACACCUGGGCCUCAGCAAUGACAGUAACCAGCCGGAAAAAGGAAGUCUGAAGAGAGAGAGAAGGGAGACUGUGUCGGUUCGGGUGCACAGGGUGAGCGGUGGUGCAUCGAGAAACGGCAUACUCGAGCUCGUCUACACCGUCAGAGUUGCUGGCAAAGCUGUCGACGCCUCGGUUGCCGCACAAGACAUGCGGCUCGUAGCCGACAACGAGGUCACCGCACAGCUGGGGUUUCCUGUCCUCACUAAAGCCGAACCUUUUCUAAAACCGGCUGAGACAGCCCAAACUUCGUCUCAAAACCGCGACGUAAUACUCAUCGUCGGCGUCAGCAUAAUUACGCUUAUCCUGAUACUACUGCUGAUACUUUUCUUGGUCUUUGGCUUGGGAAAGAGGAAAAAGAAAAUGGCAGAGAGUCGAUCCGGCAUUUUCCACAAGGAGCAGACCGGAAGGGAGAAUUUGGGCUUUCACGAAGAGCCUGAAACAGACAAGAGUUCCCGACGAGGCGGUGGAAAAGAUGUACUCGACGGGGGAAGUCUUUCCAACGAAAGCGAGACCUCGGUCGACGGGAUGGCGACCCGGGUACUCAACACCCCACCGGAGCCGCGGGCCAGGCCGAGGAGUCACAAACCUUCUAGCCCGCAUUCCUACCUUUCCAUGCCGUCCGUUAAAGCUUUCCCGAGGGGUGCGCCAAUACCGGGCCCGUUAGAAAAGGUACUCGAGCCUGAAAACUCGAGCACGGGAGGGCACGUGCUCGCGAGGCACAGCAGCGCUUCCGCGGACCCAGGGGUGGUGGGUCCUCUAGUCUGGGAUCUGCACUGUCAUCGACUCAACAAAAAAGACUGCGAGGAGCAUGGGGAAGUGGAGCCGAGUGUAGGUCGCAUGAGAAGAAGGUUCCACGAACUUUUAGACGACGCUUUCAGCUUGUUCGGAAGCCGGAGUGGCACGCCUGAGGAAGACGACGCCACGCCGACCCACAAUGUCUACGGCCGUGCCAAAUCCGCAGUUAUCAUCUCGCCAGAGGAUGUUAUAUUCGGGUAGAGUGCAUUUUGUAACAUUUUUCAAAAACACCUAAAGAAUCCGAAUGCUACUACAGUUGCUGCCGGUUGACCCGUUGUCAUCUGAUAAGAAACUGAGGCCGAAAACCAGCGACGGGAGGCCGGCGACUGCGAGCAUCGGCCACCAACCCCG
rnacentral:misc_RNA from 1 species